UGCCGCGUGUGUGAAGAAGGCCUUCGGGUUGUAAAGCACUUUCAGUUGAGGAAGGUAGUGUAGUUAAUAGCUGCUUAUUUGACGUUGCACAGAAGAAGCACCGGCUAACUCCGUGCCAGCAGCCGCGGUAAUACGGAGGGUGCGAGCGUUAAUCGGAAUUACUGGCGUAAAGCGCAUGCAGGUGGUUUGUUAAGUCAGAUGUGAAAGCCCGGGGCUCAACCUCGGAAUAGCAUUUGAAACUGGCAGACUAGAGUACUGUAGAGGGGGGUAGAAUUUCAGGUGUAGCGGUGAAAUGCGUAGAGAUCUGAAGGAAUACCGGUGGCGAAGGCGGCCCCCUGGACAGAUACUGACACUCAGAUGCGAAAGCGUGGGGAGCAAACAGGAUUAGAUACCCUGGUAGUCCACGCCGUAACGAUGUCUACUUGGAGGUUGUGGCCUUGAGCCGUGGCUUUCGGAGCUAACGCGUUAAGUAGACCGCCUGGGGAGUACGGUCGCAAGAUUAAAACUCAAAUGAAUUGACGGGGGCCCGCACAAGCGGUGGAGCAUGUGGUUUAAUUCGAUGCAACGCGAAGAACCUUACCUACUCUUGACAUCCAGAGAACUUUCAGAGAUGGAUUGGUGCCUUCGGGAACUCUGAGACAGGUGCUGCAUGGCUGUCGUCAGCUCGUGUUGUGAAAUGUUGGGUUAAGUCCCGCAACGAGCGCAACCCUUAUCCU
rnacentral:rRNA from 1 species